rnacentral:misc_RNA from 1 species
UCUUGUUGUUAAAAAUCAGGAUUUCAUUGAGGCAACAAAAGAGCCAGGCAUCACUUUUUUGGCUGCCAAGUUUGAUGGUGUACUUGGACUUGGGUUCCAAGAGAUCUCAGUUGUGAAAGCUGUUCCAGUUUGGUAUAACAUGGUCAAUCAAGGUCUUGUUACCGAACAAAUUUUUUCAUUUUGGUUAAACCGUAAUGUGAAAGGAAAAGAAGGAGGAGAAAUUGUGUUUGGUGGGGUUGAUCCUAAUCAUUACAAGGGUGAGCACAC